rnacentral:rRNA from 1 species
UCUUCGGACCAAACUGGGGGAGCGUGGGAACCUGGCGGGUAGUAGUCAAGCGAUGGGGUGACGCAGGAAGGUAGCUGAGCCCGGCCGGUGGUUGUGCCGGGGUAAGCGUGUAGGCCGUGUUGUAGGCAAAUCCGCAACACAUGAAGGCUGAGACGUGAUGCCGAGCCGAUUCAGGUGAAGUCAGUGAUCCUAUGCUGCCGAGAAAAGCCUCUAGCGAGUUCUUAGCGGCCCGUACCCCAAACCGACACAGGUGGUCAGGUAGAGAAUACCGAGGCGAUCGGGCGAACUGUGGUUAAGGAACUCGGCAAAUUGCCCCCGUAACUUAGGGAGAAGGGGGGCCGGAGACGUGAAGCCCCACGCGGGUGGAGCGUUGUAUGGCCGCAGAGAGCAGGGGGAAGCGACUGUUUACUAAAAACACAGGUCCAUGCGAAGAAGUAAUUCGAUGUAUAUGGACUGACGCCUGCCCGGUGCUGGAACGUUAAGGGGACCUGUUAGCUCUUCGGGGCGAAGCGGAGAACUUAAGCGCCAGUAAACGGCGGUGGUAACUAUAACCAUCCUAAGGUAGCGAAAUUCCUUGUCGGGUAAGUUCCGACCUGCACGAAUGGCGUAACGACUUCCCCACUGUCUCAACCACAGGCCCGGCGAAAUUGCAUUACGAGUAAAGAUGCUCGUUACGCGCGGCAGGACGGAAAGACCCCGGGACCUUUACUAUAGCUUGACAUUGGUAUCCGAAUUAGCUUGUGUAGGAUAGGUGGGAGCCGGUGAAGUCCAUACGCCAGUAUGGGUGGAGGCAAUCUUGAAAUACCACUCUGGUUGAUUUGGGUAUCUAACUUCGGACCGUUAUCCGGUUCAGGGACAGUGUCUGGUGGGUAGUUUAACUGGGGCGGUUGCCUCCUAAAGGGUAACGGAGGCGCCCAAAGGUUCCCUCAGCCUGGUUGGCAAUCAGGUGUUGAGUGCAAGUACACAAGGGAGCUUGACUGUGAGACUGACAGGUCGAGCAGGGACGAAAGUCGGGACUAGUGAUCCGGCACUUGCGAGUGGAAGCGGUGUCGCUCAACGGAUAAAAGGUACCCCGGGGAUAACAGGCUGAUCUUCCCCAAGAGUCCAUAUCGACGGGAUGGUUUGGCACCUCGAUGUCGGCUCGUCGCAUCCUGGGGCUGUAGCAGGUCCCAAGGGUUGGGCUGUUCGCCCAUUAAAGCGGUACGCGAGCUGGGUUUAGAACGUCGUGAGACAGUUCGGUCCCUAUCCGCCGUGCGCGUAGGAUACUUGAGAAGGGCUGUCCCUAGUACGAGAGGACCGGGACGGACGAACCUCUGGUGUGCCAGUUGUCCCGCCAGGGGCACGGCUGGUUAGCUACGUUCGGAAGGGAUAACCGCUGAAAGCAUCUAAGCGGGAAGCUCGCUUCAAGAUGAGGUAUCCCACCCACCUUGGUGGGGUAAGGCCCCCAGCUAGACGACUGGGUUGAUAGGCCGGAAAUGUAAGCCCGGUAACGGGUUCAGUUGACCGGUACUAAUAGGCCGAGGACUUGACUAC